CAGAGGGUGCAAACGUUGCUCGGAAUUACUGGGCGUAAAGCGCGUGUAGGCGGGUUUCCAAGUCAGAUGUGAAAUCCCUGGGCUCAACCCAGGAACUGCAUUUGAAACUGGGAGUCUUGAGUAUCGGAGAGGAAAGCGGAAUUCCUGGUGUAGAGGUGAAAUUCGUAGAUAUCAGGAGGAACACCGGUGGCGAAGGCGGCUUUCUGGACGAUAACUGACGCUGAGACGCGAAAGCGUGGGGAGCAAACAGGAUU
rnacentral:rRNA from 1 species